CCCUUACUGCCCUGAUGGCAGCGAUGAGGUCAGUACUGUGUGUAGGUCCAGAGCUGCCAACUCUCACCCAGUGCCUUCAUAUUGUGUAUUACUGGAAGCACAUUGAGAUGGAUUAAAAAAAAUAAAUCACAAAAAGGAAAAACUAUGCACAGUCAUAUGUUACCAACAAGACACAAACAGGGGACAUACUAAAAGGAAUGACAGAUUGGAAUGCCCAUAGACUUUAACAAGGCAGUG